CAGGACCCUCCGGGAGUCCCAGCCCCCCACCCAUCAGUCCCAUCCCCACACCUAGCCCUGAGGACCAGCCCCUCAACCCCACGGGGUCGGACCCCCAGAGUGGUCUGGGAAGGCACCUGGGGGUUGUGACUGGGGUCUCAGUGGCCUUCGUCCUGCUGCUCUUCCUCCUCCUCCUCCUCUUCCUCGUCCUCCGACAUCGACGUCAGGGCAAACGCUGGACAUCAGCCCACAGAAAGGCUGAUUUCCAACAUCCUGCCGGGGCUGUGGAGCCAGAGGCCAGAGACAGAGGCCCUCAGAGGAGGUCCAGUCCAGCUGCCGACACCCAGCAAGAAAACCUCUGUGAGUGACAGGAAGAGGCGACCAGCCAGGAGGAGAUGGGGGAGGCGACCAGCCAGGAGGAGAUGGGGGAGGCGACCAACCAGGAGGAGAUGGGGGAGGCGACCAGCCAGGAGGAAGAUGGGGGCCCCAAAGUUUCUGUGGCAAAGGGGAAAGGGGCACAGGCUGGAAAGGGUCUGGGGCUCAGGGUGAGAUGAUCUCACCCCACACUGUGGGACCUCGGGGACAUCGCAGCCCCUCCCUGCAUCGCAGUGGCCCCAACUGGGAGCUGGGCAGGGGCCGGCAGGACUCAGAGGUCUC